rnacentral:rRNA from 1 species
GACGAAGAAUCCCCAGGAGAUGAUCACGACGGUGAUGUUGUACACAGUCAUCAUGUAGAAGAUGCAGGACAUGAUGAUGAUGCCGGCGGAGCAGACGACGCUGGACCAUCGAUGGGCUGGGUGCAGGACCCUCAUAUUCAAGAGCUGCUUCUCAAGCAGACGGAUAACGCAAGAGCUGCCGCCCGAGAAAAAGCCAAGAUGGAUCAACUUGAGUUAGACGCGGUUACUCCAUUGUAUGAAGGAUGCAGGCCCGAGGAUACCCGCCUGAAAGUAACGCUCAUGGCUCUGGAGAUGAAGGUAAAACACAAAAUGACCGACGCAUGCUUCGACGAGAACAUGUCAUUCUGGCACGAACGUCUUCCCAAGGGGAACAAGUGCCCGACCAGUUUGGAGGAGGCGAAGAAAAUCGUGUGUCCUCUGGAUUUACCGCACGUGAAAUACCAUGUGUGCAUGAACAAUUGCAUCAUUUAUCGGGACGAGCACGCGGAGUCUACCAUAUGUCCGGUGUGCGGUGUCACUCGAUACAAGAAGAGGAAGAAAGCUCCUCGAAAAGUGGUGUGGUACUUU